AACGAACGCUGGCGGCAUGCCUAACACAUGCAAGUCGAACGAGACCUUCGGGUCUAGUGGCGCACGGGUGCGUAACGCGUGGGAACCUGCCCUUAGGUUCGGAAUAACUCCCCGAAAGGGGUGCUAAUACCGGAUAAUGUCUUCGGACCAAAGAUUUAUCGCCUUUGGAUGGGCCCGCGUUGGAUUAGCUAGUUGGUAGGGUAAAAGCCUACCAAGGCGACGAUCCAUAGCUGGUCUGAGAGGAUGAUCAGCCACACUGGGACUGAGACACGGCCCAGACUCCUACGGGAGGCAGCAGUGGGGAAUAUUGGACAAUGGGCGGAAGCAUGAUCCAGCAAUGCCGCGUGAGUGAUGAAGGCCUUAGGGUUGUAAAGCUCUUUUACCCGGGAUGAUAAUGACAGUACCGGGAGAAUAAGCCCCGGCUAACUCCGUG
rnacentral:rRNA from 1 species